AGAAUGCAUACAAACGGAACCAUAUCUAAGUGAUGUCUGGCUUUUUUAACUUAGCACAAUGCUUUGAGAUUCAUACUAUUGUGUUUAAUUAGUAAUUCAUUUGUGUUAUUGUUGAAUGGUAGUCUAUCAUAUGGGUAAGCCACAGUUUAUUUAUCCAUUCACCAAUUGAUGGGCCUGUCGGUUGUAGGGAACAGGAGAAAACUUCCCCUUUGCCCUCUGAAGGGUCACCGAAAAUCAACUGACAAGGCUGGGCCUGGGCUCCUGCCUGUAACCCCAGCCCUUUUUUAGCCCAAGGCAGGAGGAUCUCUUCUUUGUGAAGUGUGUAUUCAAAUCUUUUGACCAUUUAUUUAUUAGCUAGCUUGACUUUUUAUCUAAGAGUUCUUUAUAUAUUAUUGAGUUCUUUAUAUGUUUCAUACCAUGUUCUUUAUUAGCUAUACGUUUUGAAAUGUUUUCUACCUGUCUGUGGCUUGCCUCUUCAUUUUAAGUGUCUUUUGAAGCACUGAAGUUUUCAAUUUUGAUGUAAUUUAUCCAUUUUUUUCUUUUACAUAGUUCAUACCUUUUUUGUCCUACUUAAGACAUUUUUGCUAAAUUCAAGAUUAUAAGAUUUCCUCAUUUGUUACCUUCUGGAAGUUUUAUAAUUGUUGGUCUUCAUUAUAUUUAAAAUGAAUUAUUCUUUAUAGUAUCGAUAGAUGCUGGAGGCAGAUAAGGGAGGGUCCCUGGAGAAUCUCUGACCUGCCUCACAAGCUUUUGUGCAGCUGAGGAAGCCUGCCCAGGGUCUUGUCUGGGCAUGCCCACAAGGGACUUGGGGGCCCACUGCACCAGGAGAGUGGGGUGCAGCCAGAGGGAAUUCAGCCUUAUGCAGCAGGGAUGAGCAAGAAGUCUUCAGCUUGUGUGUGUUGGCCUGUUAUUCAGUCUGUGAGCUGGGAGCCUGUUGGCAGGACCCUCCUUGUUUUUUUGCUAAGAGCUUUUAAUAAAUGCCACUCUUCACCUUGCAAUGUAUUCACAUGCCUAAUUGUUCCUGGUCAUGAGACAAGAACCUGGAUUUUAGCUGAGCUAAGGAGCAAAAAUUCCUGCAUCAGUAUGAGGCAACACUGGAGAGUGGCCUGGGCCA
rnacentral:lncRNA from 10 species